AAUAACACCCUGGUCUCUGGUGCCUGGGGUGUGUGCUCUGCAGUGCUGGCGGGCACAUGCUGGCUCCUUCAGCGUGAGGUGCUUGGCACCUUCAGUCUUUUCCUGACGUCAUGUUUGUUCCUGGUGCCUCAGAUAGGAGACGGCUGCCCUGACGGCUCCUGCUUCCCCAUUCCUGGAGGGAAGACAGACUUAGCCACAGGGGUCUGUGGGAUCUUGGAACUCUGAAUGCCAGACCUUGCCCAGUGCUAGAGGCGACGCGUGUGUGAAGUGGAAGAGGCUUCUCCCAUCCACUCCGCCGCAGUGGACCCGAGCGGGCAGAGAGAGCAGAGUGCAGCAGGGGCCAGGCUGUGCUCGCAGGCAGGGCAGGUGCCUGGAGAGCAUGGCACCCCGGGAGCCUCUUGCCAAGAAGGGCGUGUGCACUGCAGUGUGCUGUGGACCGGUGGCCUCAGCUCAGUGUCCUGACGAGGGUCCCAAGGCACUCACGUGUGUGGGGAUGUUAGCAACACACGGCGGGCAGCCCUGAUGCAGUUUCUCACCGAGCACGUAGCAGACCCCAUGCACCCCACACAGGGCACAGACCCCACGCACCCUACACAGGGCAGGCACCCACGCAGGGCACAGACCCCACGCACCCCACACAGGGCAGGCACCCACGCAGGGCACAGACCCCACACACCCUACACAGGGCAGGCACCCACGCAGGGCACAGACCCCACACACCCUAUACAGGGCACAGACCCUAAGCACCCCACGCAGGGCACGGAUCUCACACACUCCUCGCAGGGCAAAGACCCCACGCAGGGCACAGACCCCACACAGAGCACAGACCCCAAGAACGCCAUGCAGGGCACGGAUCCCACGCAGGGCAGGGGCAGCCCAAGGCCAGGCCCCUCCCCUGUAGAACUCCUACCAGGCAAGACCAGAGCCACAGUCACUUCCACACCAUUUCCUUCCCGAGAAACCUCAGCAGACUCUUCCUCCUUUCCUGGCUACACGGGGGCCCCUGCCGCAGCCUGACCCUCUGCUACCUCCUGAGCCUCAGGAAAGCAAGGUCGGCCUCUGAAUACAGAGGACUUCGGUCCUGCCAGAGGGUGCGUGGCCAUGGGUGCUGGCAUGCAGGCAGCCUGCGGGGAGGCAGAGUGGGGCUGCAGCAAAGGCCGUGGUGGUUGUGGUGAGGGUGGUGGCCAGGUCUUGUUGCCAUGGUGAGGAUUCUGGGGUUACCCUAAGAGCCACCACAUUCAGGCACUCAUGAAAAAGCACAUCAAAAUAAAAUAUUUUCACAUGAUGAAGAACUCCGCGUGAUUGGUCUCUGGUCCUACUACUUCCCAAGCAUUUUCCUCUCUGGAUGUAAGCAGUUUCUCACACAUAGGGAAGGUUCUUCCUGUUUAAAAUUCCAUACUCCCCAAGCUGCAGCAGAGGCCUCCCUGACUCCCCUCAGAAGUGCACUUGGGCCGAUAGCCAGGCCCAUGUUGUCAACACAACACAGACAAGCUGGGGUCCACCAGACCACCGCAGGCUCAGCGAUUUGACAGGACCCCAGGACUCAGGAUAAAGGUGGUGGCUGCCGUGGGAGCCGUCAGCUGAGGGGGGGGGCGCGCGGGGGCAUCUGCUGCCUCGUGGCUCCCUGCGGUGGGACUUUGGGCCCAUUUCUCAACCUUUCUGUGCCUCUCAGCCCUUUCAUCCGUAAAGCUCUGCUGUGUGAGGAGCUGUGGCCCCUUGACAGAGGAGCCCCACCCCCAGCCCUGUGCUCUCACCGCCUACGCACUCGACCAGGCAGGCCUGUGCCCUGCAGGAGUGAUGGACACAACUCAGGCCUCAGUGCAGGUUUGGACGUUGAUCUUGUUUAUUUUAAAAUACCCACGACGCUGUGUGUGUGGAAAGGAGGCCCAGGGUGGGAAGCUGUUCGGUUGUCAUCUGAGCCCUUUUGCCGACAUUGCUUCCUUCCUUCUUGGCUUCCUGUUCACCAUGGUGACAGCUGAAUGCUGGUGAAACCACCAUGGGGCUUAGACCCUGCUCCUUCCCACCCUUGCCACGUUACCCUGUUUGCCUCCACAAGCUUCCUGUGGAACUGGUCCUUCCACCCCACCCCGGUCUGGAGAUGGGGAAGGCAUGGAGGUCGUGCAGGCAAGGGCUGGACGCACAGCCUCAUCUCUGUAUGACCCCUUCACAUAUACUACAGAAGAAGCUGAAGCUGAAAGGCCUAAGAGAUGACCCCAGCUCCCAUCGGCAGGCAGGAGGGCUGAGGUCACACAGCAGACGGGGUAGGCCCUGUCUUUCUUUAAGUGAUCAAUAAUGGUAACAGGCAGAAACAGAGAGAAACCUGGAGAUUGGAAGGAGAAGCCAUUCUCACCACACACGGUGGCUCACAGGACUCAGCGGGGGCCCUGCCAGCUUCUCCUGUUGGCCCAGGACAGGCUGUGUGGAGCUCCUGUCUUGCUGCCCCGAGGGGGGUCGGUGGCAGGACUGCUGCGCCCUCGUUAGUGUGAGUUGAGCUCAGUGCUUGGGUGGGAACUUGGUGAUCUGGACCAUCCGCCUGGUGUAGAUGGGCUGUGAUUAGACUUCUUGGCCAGAAGUGCUGUAUUUCAUGGCUGUGAACAUCCAGAUGAGGCCAGAUGUUUGGUUUUAGUGAAGUGGACAGAAUCUGUGAGCAGCAGCCAUGCCACAAAGCUGCACCCAGCCCUGCCCAUCCGUUCCAUGAGCUGUAACCGCCAUUGGCCAUGAACUUUCUCUUGUUUGAAAAUAUCACCAUGGAAACAUCCCUUUGUGUAGCAGAAUCAAGAAUGUAUUUUGACAUCUUCGAGUUUUACGGUGGGAUGCGGGAGUCGCACAUUUUCCUAUGUUGACAGUAUCGUGGCCUGUGUCCCCUAAAAGACUUGCUAGAAAAGCCUAGAAAUUAGAGGUGCUAAAUGAUUGAUACAAAAGGCAUUUGUUCAGAUGAGUAGCAGAGGCCACACAGCUCCACAUCCCUGCGGCCCUACCUCAGGGUCUCUGCAUUGGAGCCCAACCUCAGACCUCCCAGGGAGGUAGAGGAAGGGGCUCUGAGCCCAGACCCCACGAAAAGCUUGUCCUCUCAAGGAGGCCACACUUCCUGGACACUUUGGGCUAUCUGAGCAGACACUGUUCCCCCAGCUAAGAGGGACAGGCACUGAGGAGGGGCUUUGAGGGGUCACCACAAAGACUUCUGACCCAGUCCUGCCCUCCGGUGGGGCUGGCAUCUGUAUUUGUGCCAUUGCUGGAAAUGCCCCCUCUCCCUGAGGCCCCCACCACCACAAAAGCAAACCCUCCCUGGAGAGACACACCGUCCUCAUCCAGGCCUCGCGGCUCCGAGUGCAGACAGACGAAGAGCCCGGUUGGAAUUACAGACGCUGAGGAAGAAAAGCUGUCCUGAGAGAUCAGCAGGGGGCAGCCCCAGGGACCUCACACGCUGGGACGGUUAAGUGCACAGUAUCCAUCGGAGGAUUUAAAACCAUCGAGUAUCAUGCAGAUGUUUCUAGAGCACAUGGAAUAUCUGGAAAUGAAAACUAGAAUCACUGAAAUAAAAAACCCAGUGGGCAGAUGAUGUAGCUUAUUAGACACAACCUAAGAAAGUAUUGGUGAAUUGGAAGUUCUAACAAAAGAAAUUGCCUAAACUGGAGCACAGAAUGAAAAUGAGACAGGAAGCCCGCAGGAAGCGGGGAGCUGUGGAGGAGAGAAUGCAGCUCAACAGGCACCUCAGCAGAGGAGAGAGCAGGGCAGGGAGAUGGUGGCUUUUCAAGGUUCAUAAAAACACAAGCCUCAAAUUCAAGAAGUGUAAUGAAUUAUAAGCAGGAGAAAGAACAGUAAUUACACAUUUAAAUAUGACAUUUCAAUAUGACUCUGACAUGAAGUUUUCACAACAGCAAAGGGAGGAUGUUAAAAGCAGCCAGAUGUGGUGGCACAGCCACCCAUGGUCCCAGCUACUCUGGAGGCUGAAGUGGGAGGGCCGCUUGAGCCUGGGAGGUGGAGGCUGUGGUGAGCUGAGAUUGCGCCACUGCCUCCAUCCUUGGCUACAGAGUGAGACCUUGUUUAAAAAAAAAAAAAGGCAGCCAGAUAGAGAAGACACUCCCUGCACAGCACCCCCAGGCGGGUCACAGCUCCCACAUCCCACCUGCACAGAGCACCCCCAGAAAGGUCACAGCCCCCCCAUCCCACCUGCACAGAGCACCCCCAGGAAGGUCACAGCCCCCCCAUCCCACCUGCACAGAGCCAGGUGCUGCUGCCAUUUGCCCAGGAAGCUCACCUCCAGUCUCUGCUGCCUCAGAAAGGCCUUGGCUGGAUGCAGGGGCAGGAAGUGGGCUCCAGCUCCCAAAAGCAUCGUCCACUGUAGCCCCUGCUGCCCCAGGCCAAGGCCAUGCUCCAGCAGCAGGAAAGGGCUCAUGGCGGGGGAGGUCUCAGCUCUGUGCUGAGGAGGGGAGGGUUCUGUGGAAUCUCCCAUUGGCCAGCUGGGUACUGAGGUGCUGCCAACCUCAGAGGGCUGGCAAGGUGGAUGUGGUUUGAAGAAAGGUCCUACAGGCCUUGUUUCUUGAAGAUGAGGUGGGUGGCCGCCAGGCUCAGGUCAGUGGACAGAGGUGCCACCGCCGACACGCUUGACUUGGGAAGAUUCAGCCUUUCCUGGCGCCCUCCACGGCUCUCCCUGGACCUCUCCCUCAGCCCCAGGCUGCCUGAGCCCAUAAAGCCCUCAGAGCCUGCAGGCCAUUUUCCGACUGCGGAGCAGGAGUGGCAGGGGGCUUCUGAGUCCUGUGGAGUUGCUCCCACCCCCCACCCCGGGGCCACAUCUGCCUGUAGCUGGGACUCAGUCCCUAGACCUGCAUGUUUUCCACUUUGCAACUUGGUGAAUACCAUUUGGAAUUCAUAGAAAUUGUAUUUGACUUCUAUUCGGACAGUAGAGACAGGAAAUUUGCAGAAUGCUGCAGGAACUUGCUGGUUGUUCCUCGGGGUAGCUCCAGAUGCUCUCAGCCUUUUGUUCCCCGCAGACAACACCCCACACCCGCCGUGCUCUGCACUGUGUGGAGGGGCAGAGGAGCAGGUUUUGCAGCCUCUCCUCUUCAGAGGGGCCUUUCUCAGGGGCGCACAGCUCCAGGUCAGCCCAGGCCUGGGGUAGGAGGGGCAGGCAGGCAGUGCGUGACCCCCCUGCAGGACCCACUUCUGUGGCGCCUGACAGUGCAGGUGCCUGCGGCAUGUGUGCACAUCAGGGACCCGCUCAACUGCUCUCAGACCGUGGUGUCGCUGGGCUGGAAUGGAGAGCAGGCAUUGUUGAGCCGCAGGCUGUGGCACACGGGGGUCUCCCUCCGUGGGUGGGGGUCUCCCUCCGUGGGUGGGGCUUUCCUUCUAUCCCAGAAGCCCCUGGAGUGGGCAGUGUCUCGGACCUGACAGACAUGCAGGUUUGCUGGGCUCUGGAGCUCGGGUGGUGUCUGGUACGUGUUGUGGGCCUUGUGGAUGCUCGUAGCUGCAGGUGCUUGUUUCACAGUGGAGAAAUUGGCAUCCUGGGAGAUCUGGUUUCAUACUGGACUUUUGUUGUGUCAGGACAAGUACAGCGUCUUGUUUCGGGACUGGGUGAGAAGUCGCUGCUUCCUGGGAGCAAGCUCUUCCUGAGUCAGGGCAGAGCGAGGUCCCUGUGGUGGCUCCAGGCACCAGAAUUCACCAGGAGGUUGGCAGCACCUUCCAUGCGAAUUUUUGGGAGCCCUGUAAAGCUGACCUGGCCACGUGAGGGAAGCCAACUCAGUCUUUCUUCACCAAAGCUCAGAGCAGAAGCAGAAGGAGGGCCUGGUGAGGAGCGGGAGGGAUGUGGCCCUGACCCUUAGGCUCGGGCCCUGGAGCCCACCCAGGAAGUCACUGGGGCACUGAGUCCUGCCCAGUCUGCACACACAGGGUGUGGGCUGCACCUGAGAUGGCCGCCCUGCAGGAGCGGGACACGUUCUGUUUGCCAUAGAAAGCAGCUCUUCACUGCCCCUCAGAGGGUGUGCAGCGUGGUCUCCUGGCCUGCCACUCUAAAGCCUGACUUCUAAGGAACACCUUUGCCUCCUGCCUGUUCCCCUGACACACGCCUCCUAGGAUCCUUUGAUAACUUAAGAGCAUGGUAACAUCUGCAUUUUGGGAUCUGAACAUACCACAGCCCCAACACCACCCCACCUCCUCCCUCCGGAGUCCCAACACCGCCCCAGCUCCUCUCCCCGCAGCCCCAACACCGCCCCAGCUCCUCCCUCCACAGCCCCAACUCUGCCCCAGCUCCUCCCUCCACAGCCCCAACUCUGCCCCAGCUCCUCCCUCCGCACCCCCAACACCGCCCCACCUCCCUGUGUCCACCCCUAGCGGCCACAUGCAGCAGAGUGGGGCCCACUCGCUUUUGACUUCUGAUGGUCAGUGGAAUAAGGAGAUGCCUUAUGCUCCCAGGAGUCUCCUGUGCUGUGCGCUGCUUUGCAAAGUCUGUUAUCUCAGGGGUUCUGCUUUCCUCAUGUUCUCAAGGGGCUUCAUGUCUCCAAAGCAUUAACUCCCCUGCUCUGGGUGACGGAGAGAACAGGCCUCUGAAUGUGCAUAGCUAGGUCUUGGGGUUCAGGGCCCUGCAGAGGUUCUCAGCCGCUUUUCCAGGCAACUGUGGGCAGAGCAGCCGCUCGCUGAGCGUGGCCCCUCCCGGAGAGAGGAGGACUUGAGGGCUAUCUGUUGGGGAGCUGGGGUUUCUCCGGCAGCUUCGCCACCUCUUUCCUAGAGGGAGGCAGCCGUGGGUCUGCUUCUGUUGUGUAGAGGUGGCUGUGAGAAGCAGGCCUGGGGAGGGCUGGCCCCCGGGCAGCAUGCAGGGUGCAGGGAAAGCAUGGGGUGCGCGCAUAGAGACCCACGGCCAAGCUCGCUGCUGAGGUGUGGCUACGCCAGUGAUGGCUGUGGGCUGGGGCUCACUGGCCGGUGGCGAGGCCACCUCCCCCACCACUGUGUUUGCCGCGUUAUAUGAGGGGCUGGUGCCAGAGUUCAAGGGCUGUCUCAGAUCUAUGCACUGAGGACUGUUUACAGACUCGCUGGUGGUGGCAAUGGCAGCCUGCAGUACUUGGGGUUUUGCCCGUGAAUGUGACGCAGGUCGAUGUGGCCAGGUGUGUGCCCUCCUGCAGGCUUGUCCCAUAGGACA